rnacentral:lncRNA from 1 species
ACUCCCUACCUCAUCCCUUUUAAAUCAAAGCUGGACCUGGCAACAUCUGUAGGUCAUUAAUGUUAUCUUCAGUGUCUGUGGCUCAUUGCUCUUAUAUAAACCCUCAGCUUAGGCUGGCUUGCAGCUUAUAGGAUGCUUUACUAAGGAAAAAGAUUGGGAGCACUUGGGGGAGGGGGAAUGAAGAAAUGGAAGCCCCUCACUUGGGGAAAAGGAUCCUUAUAGGAGGAACUGGGUGGUCAUCCAGCUAGAAAUACCAACGUGCUCUCACACCAUCUGGCUGUUGCCUCAGAGCCUCCUGAGCAUAUUGCCCAGAAGUGACCUCCAGAAUGCUUAUGUGCUAGUAGGGAUUAAAUGUUCAGACAAAGCGUGUCAGCAACAGACAAGACUGUACUGUAUGAAACUGUUCUCCAAGGACAUUCUUCCACUUGUCCCUUGAACAAGAUCUGAAACAACAUCUGGAUGAGGAUUUGUCACAUGACUUUAAAUAUGCUGACAUUUUACUUCAGUGACAUGUUCUGAUGCCCUUUCAAAAAGAAGUACCUACCAAAUGAGGAUUUAAUUUAGAUUUAAGAUUGUAUUUGUCUAUUAAUAAAGUACUAUGUAAUAACUCA